UCUCAACAGUCAAUGGUGUAGUGGUUAUCAUUCGAGCUUGUCACGCUCGGGACCCAGGUUCGAUUCCUGGUUGGGGAG
rnacentral:tRNA from 1 species